rnacentral:rRNA from 1 species
GAUAAACGCUGGCGGUGUACAUAAGACAUGCAAGUCGAACGGGAGAAGACUGGAAGAUUUAUCUACUAGCUCGGACACCGUGGCGGACGGGUGAGUAACACGUAAGCAACCUGCCUAUAAGAGGGGAAUAACAGUGAGAAAUUACUGAUAAUACCGCAUAAGCUGGAGGUAUCGCAUGAUACAUUCAGAAAAGAUUUAUCGCUUAUAGAUGGGCUUGCGUCUGAUUAGCUAGUUGGUGAGAUAACAGCUCACCAAGGCGACGAUCAGUAGCCGGAUUGAGAGGUUGAACGGCCACAUUGGGACUGAGACACGGCCCAGACUCCUACGGGAGGCAGCAGUCGGGAAUAUUGCACAAUGGAGGAAACUCUGAUGCAGUGACACCGCGUAUAGGAAGAAGGUCUUAGGAUUGUAAGCUAUUGUCGUGUGAGAAGAAAAUGACCAUCACAGGAG